rnacentral:rRNA from 1 species
UAAGUAGGGUGCAAGCGUUAAUCGGAAUUACUGGGCGUAAAGCGUACGCAGGCGGCUAUGUAAGACAGGUGUGAAAUCCCCGGGCCUAACCUGGGAACUGCAUUUGUGACUGCAUGGCUAGAGUUUGUCAGAGGGGGGUGGAAUUCCACGUGUAGCAGUGAAAUGCGUAGAGAUGUGGAGGAACACCGAUGGCGAAGGCAGCCCCCUGGGAUGUGACUGACGCUCAUGUACGAAAGCGUGGGGAGCAAACAGG